rnacentral:tRNA from 1 species
UCAGUAGCAUAGUGGUUAAUGCGCAGGCCCGGAUAGGUUGAGACGCGGGUUUGAAUCCCGCCUGA